rnacentral:lncRNA from 10 species
CUAGCCUCCCAGCCUACGUCUUUCUCCCAUGCUGGAUGCUUCCUGCCCUUGAACAUCAGACUCCAAGUCCUUCAGUUUUGGGACUCAUGCUGUCUCUCCUUGCUCCUCAGCUUGCAGAUGGCCUAUUGUGGGUCCUAUUGAUGGCCCUUGCAUUGAUCCUGAGAGUUCUCCCCAGCAAACUUCCAGCAUACAAAUAGGUGCCUCAGAGGCGCCUCAUCCUAAGACAGUGUGUAGCAGACAGGGAAGCUGAAGCCUGGAGACCAUCUGAGAAGACGGUGAGCAAAAGCCAUGAGGUACCAGACACUACGGUCUCACAGAAGUCAUUCCGAGGUCAGGAGCCACAGAUUAAAAAUGAGAAAAAAAAAGUAGACGGGGUCAAGUCACUUUCUCAACGUAUCCUGAACAUCAGCUGAAGUAACGAGAAGUUGUUUUUCCUUCCUGCCAACUGGAAAGAGCCUCAGGACCACACUCAGCCAGGCACCAGAGCUGGGCAUCUGCCUUGUGUCUGUCUUGUCCCUCCACUUCCCUUGACCCUUGGACCAGUGACAGGGACACUCUGCCUACAUUUGUCAGCCUCUCCCUUUGAGGAACUGGCCAACGUUCUCUAAACAGCCAACUUCUGGCUGCAGCGUUGUUCCGAAUAAAUUGACCUAGAACAAAGGUGCUUCCUCCUGUCUGACUCCAAGUACAACAAGUUCUUUGGACACUGUGUCUUGACUUCUGCUGGCUGCCCUGGGGCGUAGUUUGAGUUUCUCCUCUAAGAAAAU